UACAGAGGGUGCAAGCGUUGUUCGGAAUUAUUGGGCGUAAAGGGCGCGUAGGCGGCCUGGCAAGUGGAUGGUGAAAUCCCUCGGCUUAACCGAGGAACUGCCAUCCAGACUGCUUGGCUUGAGACCGGGAGAGGUGAGUGGAAUUCCCAGUGUAGCGGUGAAAUGCGUAGAUAUUGGGAGGAACACCAGUGGCGAAGGCGGCUCACUGGACCGGUACUGACGCUGAGGUGCGAAAGCGUGGGGAGCAAACAGG
rnacentral:rRNA from 1 species